CUUUACUGUAACUUGAAAUUGAAAUUGGACUUUAUUUGCGCAGUAUAGGUGGGAGGCGUUGAAAAUAUUCUUGCGGGAGUAUUGGAGCCAUCAGUGAGAUACCACUCUUGUAAUGUUAGAUUUCUAACUUUGGAUCAUUAUCUGGUCAAAGAACAGUUUCAGGCGGGCAGUUUGACUGGGGCGGUCGCCUCCCAAACGGUAACGGAGGCGUACAAAGGUUUCCUCUGAACGGGUAGAAAUCGUAUCUAGAGUGUAAAGGCAUAAGGAAGCUUGACUGUGAGACCUACAAGUCGAGCAGGGACGAAAGUCGGUCUUAGUGAUCUGACGGUGCUGAGUGGAAAGGCCGUCACUCAACGGAUAAAAGUUA
rnacentral:rRNA from 1 species